rnacentral:rRNA from 1 species
GACGAACGCUGGCGGCGUGCUUAACACAUGCAAGUCGAACGGAAAGGCCCUGCUUUUGUGGGGUGCUCGAGUGGCGAACGGGUGAGUAACACGUGAGUAACCUGCCCUUGACUUUGGGAUAACUUCAGGAAACUGGGGCUAAUACCGGAUAGGAGCUCCUGCUGCAUGGUGGGGGUUGGAAAGUUUCGGCGGUUGGGGAUGGACUCGCGGCUUAUCAGCUUGUUGGUGGGGUAGUGGCUUACCAAGGCUUUGACGGGUAGCCGGCCUGAGAGGGUGACCGGGCACAUUGGGACUGAGAUACGGCCCAGACGCCUACGGGAGGCAGCAGUGGGGAAUAUUGCACAAUGGGCGGAAGCCUGAUGCAGCAACGCCGCGUGCGGGAUGACGGCCUUCGGGUUGUAAACCGCUUUCGCCUGUGACGAAGCGUGAGUGACGGUAAUGGGUAAAGAAGCACCGGCUAACUACGUG